CACCAGCCGACCCCCUCCUCUCCGCUCUCCCCUGCCCUGCCCGCUGACCUGUAAUCUGCUGCCAGUGAAAAGUAAAAAUGUCCCCUCAGUGGUCCCGGGUCAGUGUCGGUGAUGUGCAGAGGCGUCGACCUCGUGUGUUCUGCGGCACCUAUCAGCAAGGAGUCUGCCACAGGAGGAAAAUAAAAAGCAGUAAUGAGUUUGCUGCAGGAAGCAGGGAAAGCAGACGCCCUGAGAGGAAUGCCAACAAAAGGACCAGCAUUGGAGUAGCUCUAUCAGGACGGCCACGAUAGCGAAACGUUCGCUAAUUACCAGUUCCCAGCCGGCGGUGCAGAAGAUAAGUAGAUGUGAAUGAUAUCAAUGGCAGCGGAGCAAU